rnacentral:ncRNA from 1 species
AAAAAGUUUGAUUCUAGCUUCAAAUCUUGAGUUACUUUUUAUUAACAUGUAUUUUUUUGAUUGAAAUUUAUAAUUUCUUAAUGAUUUUAUAAUUUUUUAAUUUUCAGUUUAUCUUAUUAUUAAUAAAAUAAUUUUUAAAAUAGAAAAUGUAUUUAAAAUUGACAAAUUUUGUGCCAGCAGUUGCGGUUACACAAUUAAUUUAAUUAAGAUUUAUUUAAUUGAAUUAUUUAUUUAUAUUUUUAAUUAAAAUUUAUUUAUUUUAGGUGAAAUUUUAAUAUUUAAAUUGUAAUUUUGGUUUAUAAUAUAAUAUUCGAAGGUCAUUUUAUAAACUAGGAUUAGAUACCCUAUUAUUUUGAUUGUAAAUUUUUAAAUUUUAAUAUUAAUAGCUAUGUUCUUUAAAUUAAAAGAAUUUGGCGGUAAUUUAAUCUUUCCAGAGGAAUCUGUUCAUUAAUCGAUAAUCCACGUUUUAUUUUACUUAAAUUAAAAAUUUGUAUACCUCUGUUAUUGAAUGUUCUAUAAAGAUAUUUUCUGUAAUUUUUAUGAAUUUAAUAUCAGGUCAAGGUGCAGUUAUAUUUAAGUUGAAAUGGAUUACAAUUUUUAUAAAAUUGGAUUUUUAUAUGAAAUAUAUAUUAUAAAAUUGGAUUUGGAAGUAAUUUUAGUUAUUUAACUUUUUUGAUUUGUGUUCUAAAUUAUGUACAUAUCGCCCGUCGCUCCCAUAUUUGGGAUAAGUCGUAACAAAGUAGAUUUACUGGAAAGUAAAUCUAGAAAGUU